CUUUGAAACCAGGACGCCAGUUUUGGCGGAGCCAUCCUUGGGAUACCACCCUUGUAGUACUGGGACUCUAACCAUAGGCCAUGAAUCUGGUCUUGGGACACUGUCAGGUGGGCAGUUUGACUGGGGCGGUCGCCUCCCAAAAGGUAACGGAGGCGCUCAAAGGUUCUCUCAGUACGGUCGGAAAUCGUACGUAGAGUGUAAAGGCAAAAGAGAGCUUGAUUGCAAGACAUACAGGUCGAGCAAGGAUGAAAAUCGGACUUAGUGAUCCGGUGGUUCUGCGUGGAAGGGCCAUCGCUCAACGGAUAAAAGCUACCCUGGGGAUAACAGGCUUAUCUCCCCCAAGAGUCCACAUCGACGGGGAGGUUUGGCACCUCGAUGUCGGCUCAUCACAUCCUGGGGCUGUAGUAGGUCCCAAGGGUUGGGCUGUUCGCCCAUUAAAGUGGUACGCGAGCUGGGUUCAGAACGUCGUGAGACAGUUCGGUCCCUAUCCGUCGCAGGCGUAGGAAAUUUGAGAAGACCUGUCCUUAGUACGAGAGGACCGGGAUGGACGUACCUCUGGUGUACCAGUUGUUCUGCCAAGGGCAUGGCUGGGUAGCUAUGUACGGAAUGGAUAAGCGCUGAAAGCAUCUAAGCGCGAAGCCAACU
rnacentral:rRNA from 1 species